rnacentral:tRNA from 1 species
GGAAUUUAGCUUAGUGGUAGAGCGCUUGCCUAGGAAGCGCAAGGCCCUGGGUUCGAUCCCCAGCUCCG